UUAUGAAAAUCACAUGGACAUGCGGAACAUUCAGCCACAAAUAUUCGUCAGUUAUCUGCUUUGUGCCAGACAACACAGGAGAGUUUUGGGGACCCAGAGAUGGAGAUGGCCUGACCCUUCUGAUCCAGGAAGGACAGAUUGGAAAGGAGGUAGAAAAAUCUGGGCUCAGACACACUCUGAGGACAGCAAGACUCUUCUGUGGGAAUAUGAAGGAGGCACACUCACAUGUGUCAGAGUGCAUAAAGGAAACUUCUAGAAAGAAACAACCUAGCUGGGAAGAAUGGAAAGCACAAGUCAGGCACCUUCUUCACCCCAGAAAGGAACUGCUACAAGGCCCCAGACAGCCAGGUCUGCUGUAGCCCUGAAAGUGAGCAGACGGAAGUGCCCAAAGGGACCCCCUGCACUCUGGUCUACAGCUGGGCUGAUUGUCACCCUGGUAGAGAGCCUGCGGAGGGACAGAACAAGUGCGUUCCAUCAGGCCCACGUGACUGUUUCCUGUGUGGGCCCGUGCACACCUUCCUGCCCUAAGGGAUCCCACUGGAGCGUGAAACUACACAGCAGCCACAGCAGUUUGGAAGGGGAACCCAGCAACUUCCCAUUUUCAAAGUUCUGUAACUGACAGUCCUGGGGGAGGUCUUUCCUAACCUCACCCUCAACUAGAAAUGGUUUUAAUUGUAAGGACAUUGUGUGCUUUUACUGGAACAUUCUAGUUACAGAAGAAGAUACUAGACAAUGAAACUUCAUAGACCCUUUUACUCAGAACUCUACCACCGUUGUCUUCCCUUUGGCGGACCAUCCUAAGAAUUCCUGGUAUCCCCUUCCAUGGCUGUCCUGAGUGCAAAUAUACAUAUAUCUUUGAUUAUACAAAA